AACUCCCUUGGCGGCAUGCCUAGCUGCAAAGAAGACCUUCUUGUUCAUUGAGGGAUCCUGUCUCCCUCAAUAAGGCAAUAAGGCAAAAAGGCAAAAAGCGAUAGAGAAAGACAAGCAGAACUCUGCUCUGGCCCCCACAUUCACCCACAUGGUGGCACACACCUGCAUGCUCACAUGCAUGUACCCUCCCUACUUCCUCUCACUAAUGCACUCGGAGCUGUGUGGAACUGUUUCCUGCUACUGCUGCUUUGUGUCUCCACGCUGAGAUGUGACCAGAUGGUUCCUGUUAGACUGGCCAACUAGAUCCCCUAUGGGGAACGUCGAUCUGACCCCCAAGAUCCUAACCCAUUGUAUAGAGGUGUAAUCUUGAGACUUGGGGCAGUCACUGUCUAGGAAGGGUCUGUGCAGACCUCUGCACGGGGGCUGUAGGGGUUGGCAGAGACUUUACAAGAAUGACACUGGACCCUGGAUUUUGGGAACACCCAGGAUACCAUUCCCAGAAGCCACCACACCCUGCCCUAGGCUCUUUGGAAGUCCAACAGAGCUUCUUUGUCCCAGGUUCCUCUUUGCCUAAAUAGCCAGCUAGAACCCAUUACUUGCAGAAGACCUAAAUCUGGCCUGGUGGUUUCAGCAGAACCUCUCUUGCUAUAGGUAAUCUGAAACAGAUGGAGCUCUGUGAGGCCGGCUUUCCACCUAGAAAGGUGACUGUUCCUUUCCAGGUUUUAAUUAUGUCCUGGGUCUCCUGACUGGAACUCCAGCAUUCCCUGUCAAUUGUAGAACUCUGCAGAAUGACCCUAUCUCACCUGCAGGAGUCCCCGGCAAUCUCAUCUUCAUAAUGCUAUCUCCCCGCACUGUCUUCCAGAACCCCUUGCUUAUCACACUUAUCAAGCCUCAGCUGGGCACCUGACAAGGCUCACUCCUCCUCUGUUCUGACCACAGUUACCUUCCCUUCCCCCACCCCAAGUUCUGCCCACCCAACUGGCUAGCACAACCUAUCAUGGCCAUUGUUCCCUUACUGGCCACAAAGGAGCCCCACCUUGCCUCCUCCCCCAGCUAGCCAUGCAGGAGCCUGGUCUCUGGGGUCGGUCCUCUGUGCACCUGUGAACAGUCUAUCCGUAUGUCAUCUUUGCAGAUCAGAUGUGGAGAGGCGUGCCCCGCCUACUCUUGGCAUCUUCCCAGUGCUGAGCACUCGGCAUAACCCAAUGCUAGGGUUCCGCAAAUGCUGGCUGAAGUGAAACCCACUGUGGUAGCUCAUCUCUCUGCUUGUUCCCACGCUUAGCUCCCAGUCUUACGUAGGGACCUGCAUUAGCCAGGAAACUGAAGUCAAUUCAGAGGCAGGGGGUGGACCAGCCCUGGCGUUGUCACCCAUCUGAUCAGUACUGAAGCUUUCCAAUGGCCCUCCCUUGCCUCCUUCUUGUGUUUCCUUCUGUGGGCAUCUUACAGAGAGACACGGGCAUAACUUGUUUAGCCUUGGAUCUAGAGGACAAACUCUGACCGGAACACCUAGAAAAGGCUCUGAGCCAGGCACAAUGGCAAAGCAGAUUCGGAGGGCUGACGUGGAAGCAAAGGAGGAAACAACUUGGUGAGCUGAGCCACACUUGGGAAGGGUAGUCUCGUUCUCAAGGCUGCUGGGCACAAGGAAGUGGGAGGGCCAGGGGAAGCUAACCCCACUCUCUAUCUGCUCUACAAGGGCUUCCAGGGCCCAUGGAGUCAUGGCUGUGAGAAAACAGAGGCCAUCUCUGAGGAAUCAGGCGCCUGUGCUCACAAUGACUCCACUUAAACUGUCUUAGCCCAGCUCCGCGCCUUCCUUGUGGUGCAGUAGCUGCAAAAGCCUGUCCCACCGUCGAGGGAGAACUUUUACUUAUACCAGGAAAGCAGUGUGUUCUCUAGCUGUCCACGGUGAGGGUCACAGUCCUCCCCAAGAGUUCUGCGGAAAGUUGAAGAAGCUGAGAGGACGGUGGGCCAUCAUGUCUGUCAGCAGAAUGUGGACAUAUGACUGCAGCUAGACAGAGCAGGGACUGACGGGAAACAGGAGAGUCUGGGACCUGGAGAUACUCUGGAGGCAACCCGUUGGGAUGGCAGCACCAGGGAGUACAUGGGAAUGCCCAUGCCUCAAGGGAGGAGCAUGCUCUCUUCUGAGUGUGGGAAGGCUCUGGUACCCUUCAACAGUGUCACCGUGGCCUUGUAGAAUCAGGCAGAGUCCUGCCUCGUUCUUUGUUUGCUCCCAACCUAGAACGACUUCCUAGAAUCACCAGGUGAUCACCUGGCACUUGCCAGGGACUUCUUGGGAGACCCUGGGGAUAGAGACAGAGAGUCAACUCUGGCAUUGGGGUAGAAGUAAGAGAUCCAGGAAGUGAAACUAGGACAGGCUGACUUCCAGGAAGCUGGGGCAUUGUGACACUUCAACCAUGUCACUGGAGAGCAGGCGUUGGCCCGGGGACCUCCCCACUUGAAAUACUUGUGUGUGCAGCAGACGAUAAAGUUGUCGUUGGCUCUGUAGGGCCAACAUUAACUCUCAGUGGCAUCCUAAUCUUCUUAGAACACUCCUUGGCCAGGCGGCUCCUUCUCCAGAUGUUCCUGGGAAACAAGGGGAGCUCCUCACAGCUGUGUGGGUUCAUGGGCUCAGUCAUAGCCCAUGGAGUGCGUGGGCUAGUAAGGAACAGUAGUACCCGGCCUGGGUCUCCUGGUCCCUCCACAGAUGACAGCACACCGACCCCAAGAGGUGCCUUCUUCAGUUGCUGUGCCGAGAAAUGAAACCUUGCAUAACCCUGUGAAACCGCAAGAGAAAAACACGCAAGGCCACUGCAUGCAGCUGGGCCCUGGGGCUCCUCCUCCCUGCUGUUGUCAGGAAGGGGAGCCAGGCAGGUUUGUGCUACGCACAAGAAAAACUUUACUGCAGGGGCAUCUGUUUCAAGGUCCCUGAAGACCCGCCUCUGUCAUGAACUGUGGCAUUUACUUUAGGGCUAUGGGAUCUGGGCUGUUUGACAUUCUGUCCCGGUCCCUGAGCAAAACUUAGCCGGGCUGAGCUGCGCACUUUCUGGGGCCCUACCUCACCCGGAGCUGGGCACAGAUGAACGCUGCUCCCCUUCACUGUGCGUCUCUGAGGGGCUCCCUACGUGAGGGCCCAGGCUCCCAGUGCCACAGCAGACGUGCCAGGGCAGGUCGGUGGGGCUGUUACCGUGAAAGUGGCACUCUAGGCUCCAGGGGUCUAGAAAGAGCUCUCGACUUUGCUAUAGAAGGGUAUGUUUUAAGCCAGGUGUUUGGGGGUCAAGACAGACAGAGGGGAUGGUUCUAGACUGGCAUGGGGUGUGUCGUCCUUUAUCCUGGGUGCACAGGUCUUACCUGGGGACACCCCAAACAUUAAGUUACUAGCCAAAGGCCCAGGCACACAGGUACAAACGGAUAUACAUACACAAGCACAACCACACAGAUAAACAGACCCAUGGACACAUGCGUGUGUGUGUAUGUGUGUGUGCGCGCGCGUGUGCGCACACACACACACACACACACACACCUGUCUCCCCAGAGUUCUGUCCAGGCCUCCUUUCACAAGCUCUCACUCUGCAUGUUCUGUCACUUAUGCCACAGACAUGGAACCUUUUCAGUCUCUGACACGCCCUCGAGAGUGGUGGCCCCGAGAUUCCUGGCCCAGGCCUGAAGUGAAGGACUCUUGAUCGCUCCUCUCCUCCCGUCCUCCUUGCUCCCUGCUGGAAAGCUGGAGGCUCUGAGGACCUGGCUGCCAGCCCCAUUACAGGCCUAGGCAGGUGAUACCCUGCCAGGAAGAAGCUCAACAGAUGCUUGCCCUGCGGCAGAU